CUGAGCAUGGCUUAGUGAUUUGAGCAUUAAACUAUGACUCUGGAGAUCAGGGAUCAAAUCCCUGCUUGGC